rnacentral:rRNA from 1 species
GACGAACGCUGGCGGCGUGCCUAAUACAUGCAAGUAGAACGCAGUUGCGAACGGGGGAGUAAAGCGUAGGUAACUGCCUCAUAGCGGGGGAUAAAUCUUGGAAACGAUAGGUAAUACCGCAUACUGUGGGAUGGACCUGCGUUGUCAUAGCUAGUUGGUGAGGGAAAGGCUGACCAAGGCGCCGAUGCAUAGCCGACCUGAGAGGGUGAGCCGCCCAACCUGGACUGAGAACCGGCCCCGACUCCGUCGGGACGCAGGCGUAGGGAAUCUUCGGCAAUUGACGGAAAGCCGACCGAGCCACUCCGGGUGAGUGAAGAAGGUUUUCGGGUCGUUAAGCUCUGUUGUUUGAGAAGCGGUAACUAACCAGAAAGGGACGGCUAACUACGUGCCAGCAGCCGCGGUAAUAC